GGCGAUAUCGUCUAGUGGUCAGGACAACGGGUUCUCAUCCCGUAAACCGGAGUUCGAUUCUCCGUAUCGCUACCA
rnacentral:tRNA from 2 species